rnacentral:rRNA from 1 species
AUUGAACGCUGGCGGAAUGCUUUACACAUGCAAGUCGAACGGUAGAGGGGGCAACCCCUUGAGAGUGGCGAACGGGUGAGUAAUAUAUCGGAACGUGCCCAGUCGUGGGGAUAACGUAGCGAAAGUUACGCUAAUACCGCAUACGAUCUAAGGAUGAAAGCGGGGGAUCGCAAGACCUCGCGCGAUUGGAGCGGCCGAUAUCAGAUUAGGUAGUUGGUGGGGUAAAGGCUCACCAAGCCAACGAUCUGUAGCUGGUCUGAGAGGACGACCAGCCACACUGGAACUGAGACACGGUCCAGACUCCUACGGGAGGCAGCAGUGGGGAAUUUUGGACAAUGGACGCAAGUCUGAUCCAGCCAUUCCGCGUGCAGGAUGAAGGCCCUCGGGUUGUAAACUGCUUUUGUACGGAACGAAAGGUUUCUCUUAAUACGAGGAGCUCAUGACGGUACCGUAAGAAUAAGCACCGGCUAACUACGUGCCAGCAGCCGCGGUAAAGUGACU